CCUUCUAUGUCGGCUCUUCCUACCAUUGCGAAGCAGAGUUCGACAAGCGUUGGAUUGUUCACCCACUAAUAGGGAAUGUGAGCUGGGUUUAGACUUUCGUGAGACAGGUU
rnacentral:ncRNA from 1 species